UACGUAGGGACCGAGCGUUGUCCGGAAUCAUUGGGCGUAAAGAGCGUGUAGGCGGCCUUUUAAGUCCUGCGUGAAAUCCUGCGGCUCAACCGCAGACGGUCGUGGGAAACUGGAAGGCUAGAGUGCGGGAGAGGAGAGUGGAAUUCCCGGUGUAGCGGUGAAAUGCGUAGAUAUCGGAAGGAACAUCAGUGGCGAAAGCGACUUCCUGGACCAGUACCGACGUUCAGGCACGAAAGCGUGGGGAGCAAACAGG
rnacentral:rRNA from 1 species